rnacentral:rRNA from 1 species
AUUCAUAUGCUUGUCUCAAAGAUUAAGCCAUGCAGGUGCAAGUACGAUCGAUACAAAGAGAAACUGCGAAUGGCUCAUUAGAUCAGUUAUAAUUUUCUGGAUUGUACGAAUCCUACGUGGAUAACUGUGGCAAUUCUAGAGCUAAUACAUGCAACGAAGCUCCGACCUCCGGUCGGAGCGCUUUUAUUAGUUGAAACCACCGAGACUUGUCUCGUCGAUGGUGACUCUGGAUAACGCUGCUGAUCGCUAGGUCUGUGACCAGCGACAAAUCCAAAAAGUAUCUGCCUUAUCAGCUAGUAGGUGGUCGACCUGACCACCUAGGCUACCACGGGUAGCGGGGAAUCAUGGGUUUGAUUCCGGAGAGGGAGCAUGAGAAACGGCUACCACGUCCAAGGAAGGCAGCAGGCACGCAACUUACCCAAUCCCGACACGGGGAGGUAGUGACGAAAAAUACCAAUACGGGACUCUGUCGAGGCUCCGGCAUUGGAAUGAGUAUACUUUAAAUCCUUUGCCAAGGAUCAAUUGGAGGGCAAGCCUGGUGCCAGCAGCCGCGGUAAUUCCAGCUCCGAUGGCAUAUAUUAAAGUUGCUGUAGUUAAAAGGCUCGUAGUUGGAUCUCAGCCGCAGAAACGAGGUGCACUUGACGGUGCAUCCUUGUGACUGUACUACAGCAGCCGUGUGCGCCGAGGUGGCCUUCACUGACCGCUUCCGGUGUCCUGGCGUCUUUUACUUUGAAAAAAAUAGAGUGUUCACAGCGGUCCAUAGACAUGGUCGCAUAAAGUUGCAUGGAAUAAUGAAAGAUGACUUCGGCUCAUUUUGUUGGCUUCGAUGAGUCCGAGGUAAUGACUAAUAAGAGCGGCCGGGGGCAUUCGUAUUACGACGG